rnacentral:rRNA from 1 species
UACAGAGGUGGCAAGCGUUGUUCGGAAUUACUGGGCGUAAAGGGCGCGUAGGCGGCCUUCUAAGUCAGACGUGAAAUUCCCCGGCUUAACCUGGGAACUGCGUCUGAUACUGGGAGGCUUGAGUAUGGGAGAGGGAUGUGGAAUUCCGGGUGUAGUGGUGAAAUGCGUAGAGAUCCGGAGGAACCCCAGAGGCGAAGGCGGCGUCCUGGCCCAUUUCUGACGUUCAGACAUGACAGCAUGGGGAGCGAACGGG